GUUCUCUCCUGCUAACUUCUAAAGUUGAAGCUAAGGGGAUCAUUAUUUAUCUGGAGACUAUAAGGCUGUGCUGUCCAGUAUGGUAGUCACCAGCCUCAUGUGGCUGUUGAGAACUUGAAAUGUGGCUAGUCCGGAUCGAGAUGUGCUAAGGAGACAUGCAUACAAGGAGAAUGCCAGGUGAACGUGAAGACCAUCAUUUGCAAGCCAAGAGAGGCCUGGAGCAGAUCCUUCAGAGCCCUCAGAAGGGACCAACCCUGCUGGCACCUUGAUUUUGGACUUCCAGCCUCCAGAACUAAGAACUUGAUGUAUACCUCCUGACCUGUUCAUCUUGUAGCUGCCUCUUGACAGGUGCCAAGAACUGUGAUUUGUGCUACAGAUACACAGUCUCCUUUCUCAAAGUGUUCUGAGUUCAGUUGGGUUGACAGGCAAGUGAACAGAACAGAUAUUUGCAGUAGGAGGAG
rnacentral:lncRNA from 1 species